GUCCCUGUAGCGCAAUGGAUACCGUGUUGGACUUGUAAUCCAAAGGUCGUGGAUUCGAAUCCCACCUCGGAUG
rnacentral:tRNA from 1 species